UACAGAGGGGGCAAGCGUUGUUCGGAAUUACUGGGCGUAAAGGGCGCGUAGGCGGCCCGCUAAGUCGAACGUGAAAUCCCCAGGCUCAACCUGGGAACUGCGUCCGAUACUGGCAGGCUUGAAUCCGGGAGAGGGAUGUGGAAUUCCUGGUGUAGCGGUGAAAUGCGCAGAUAUCAGGAGGAACACCAAUUGCGAAGGCAGCUCGCUGGGACGUUACUGACGCUGAGACGCGAAAGCGUGGGGAGCAAACAGG
rnacentral:rRNA from 1 species